GAAAUAAGAUAUUCAAAAAAUAACUUCUAAUUAUAUUUUUAAGCGUUGAAAUACGUUUUUAUUUCU
rnacentral:tRNA from 1 species